CGGGGUGCACCAGGCGCGAAAACUUUACAAUGCUGGCAACAGCGAUAAGGGGACCUCGAGUGCCAGGAUACAAUCUUGGCUGUCGCGAUGCCUAAAAAGCAUUGCAUAGCAAGGGCCGGGCAAGACCGGUGCCAGCCGCCGCGGUAACACCGGCGGCUCGAGUGGUAACCGCUAUUAUUGGGUCUAAAGGGUCUGUAGCCGGCCGGAUAAGUCUUUUGGGAAAUCCAGCUGCUCAACAGUUGGGCUUUCAGAAGAUACUGUUCGGCUCGAGACCGGGAGAGGUGAGAGGUACUUCAGGGGUAGGGGUGAAAUCUUGUAAUCCUUGAAGGACCACCAGUGGCGAAGGCGUCUCACCAGAACGGAUCUGACGGCAAGGGACGAAAGCUAGGGGCACGAACCGGAUUAGAUACCCGGGUAGUCCUAGCCGUAAACGAUACUCGCUAGGUGUCAGCCACGGUGCGACCGUGGUUGGUGCCGUAGGGAAGCCGUGAAGCGAGCCACCUGGGAAGUACGGCCGCAAGGCUGAAACUUAAAGGAAUUGGCGGG
rnacentral:rRNA from 1 species